rnacentral:rRNA from 1 species
UACGGAGGGUGCGAGCGUUGUCCGGAAUCACUGGGCGUAAAGGGCGCGUAGGCGGCAGGCCAAGCGUGCGGUGAAAGUCCGAGGCUCAACCCCGGAUCUGCCGUGCGGACUGGUUUGCUAGAGCACUGUAGAGGCGAGUGGAAUUCCGGGUGUAGCGGUGGAAUGCGUAGAGAUCCGGAAGAACACCGGUGGCGAAGGCGGCUCGCUGGGCAGUGGCUGACGCUGAGGCGCGACAGCGUGGGGAGCAAACAGG